rnacentral:misc_RNA from 1 species
UCCGUCAAUUCCUUUGAGUUUUAGCCUUGCGGCCGUACUCCCCAGGCGGGGAACUUAAUGCGUUAGCUGCGGCACCGACGACGUGGAAUGUAGCCAACACCUAGUUCCCACCGUUUACGGCGUGGACUACCAGGGUAUCUAAUCCUGUUCGCUCCCCACGCUUUCGCGUCUCAGCGUCAGUACCGUCCCAGAGAGCCGCCUUCGCCACGGGUGUUCUUCCUGAUAUCUGCGCAUUUCACCGCUACACCAGGAAUUCCACUCUCCUCUUCCGGACUCUAGCUUUACGGUUUCCACCGGCGUCUCGAGGUUGAGCCUCGAGUUUUCACAACGGACCUGUAAAGCCGCCUACACGCUCUUUACGCCCAAUAAAUCCGGACAACGCUUGCCCCCUACGUAUUAC